rnacentral:rRNA from 1 species
UGGGGAAUAUUGGACAAUGGGGGCAACCCUGAUCCAGCCAUGCCGCGUGUGUGAAGAAGGCCUUUUGGUUGUAAAGCACUUUAAAGCAGGGAGGAGAGGCUAAAUGGUUAAUACCCAUUAGAUUAGACGUUACCUGCAGAAUAAGCACCGGCUAACUCUGUGCCAGCAGCCGCGGUAAUACAGAGGGCGCGAGCGUUUAAAUCGGAAUUACUGGGCGUAAAGCGAGUGUAGGUGGCUCAUUAAGUCACAUGUGAAAUCCCCGGGCUUAACCUGGGAACUGCAUGUGAUACUGGUGGUGCUAGAAUAUGUGAGAGGGAAGUAGAAUUCCAGGUGUAGCGGUGAAAUGCGUAGAGAUCUGGAGGAAUACCG